ensembl:lncRNA
CCCAUAGGCUGUGCGCCUGCGCGGAGGCGGUGGCGUUCUCCGCGCGCUCACAGGCGAUCGGCGUCCUAAUUUAUGGCACCUGGAGAGUGGUUCAAGAAAAUCAGCUCCCCGUGCACCGCUCGGAGGCGGGUUGAGCUGCAGACCCAGCUGAGAAGAGAAUGAACUUGCAAACUUGAUUCAACCACAGGCCUUGUGCCGUGACCAAUAAAGGAUGCUCCUGCAAGCAGCUCCCCAGCUCUCCCCAGACCUGCCACCACCACCUCCAUCAUCUCCACCUGCCAGUCUGCCUGACUCCAUCUGCAGAGGAGAGACACGGCUGGAAACUGAGAGAGGAGGCUUCACAGGGCCCCACUGCCUGGACCACGGGCGCUGGGUUAGAGCAAGGCAGCCCUUCAUCAUUUCUAGCAAACUCCGUUUCCUACUUGGCAGGGGGCACUGCUCCUCUCUGGGCACCUUGGAGUCUCCUGCCUUCCAGGAAAAACAUCAGGGAAACCUUGGGUCACCUCGCUUGGCUGACAUCACCCAUCUAGACCUCAUCCAGUCCCAGGUCCCGCAAAAACAAAAGCCGUUGGACCUCAAAGGGUUGCCCUUCUUUCAGCCAGAAUACCUCUCGAAAAUGAUCUUCUUGAUGAGAGAGAUCUCUCUGUGCUGAGGUGGGCAGAUAAAUUAAGUUAAAAAAUGGAAAAUAUCAACACACUGCUCAAUCCAGCUCCGCGUUUUAUUUUUUGGCCGCUCCACACAGCAUGGGGGAUCUUAGUUCCCCAGCCAGGGAUCGAACCCACACCCCCUGCACUGGAAACUUGGAGUAGUUCUGACCAUUGGACUUCCAGGAAAUCCACCCCCUCUCCAACCUACUUUUUAAAAAUACACACUUUAAAAAAAGAAAAAGCUGUCAGAAUAUUAGCCAAAAGCAUUCCCUUUGGUUAUGUCUGAGGGUGGGAUGACAGAGGACAUUCUAUGCUCCAUGUUUCUACGAUGUUUUCAUUGAAGGAUUGCUUAUGUAGUCAGGAAUAACAGAGUGUUUGAAAAGGGGAAUGGCGAGGGGUUCUUGGGGUCCUUGAUGUCUUGAGAAGCCAGGUGGGUUGACAGGCAGGAUUCUAGAACAGUUCAUUCAAGAGUCUGAGAGACCACUUUCCCCAGGUUGGGGAAAUUUCAGCCUUUGGUCCAGGACUGAGUCAUCCUGAAGCAGAAAGGAAAAUUGAGUGAUGCUAAAGAAAUCUGAGCACUGAAGAACUGAUGCUCAUGAACUGUGGUGUUGGAGAAGACUCUUUAGAGUCCCUUGGACUGCAAGGAGAUCCAACCAGUCCAUCCUAAAGGAAAUCAACCCUGAAUAUUCAUUGGAAGGACUGAUACUGAAGCUGAGGUUCCCAUACUUUGGCCACCUGAUGUGCAGAGCUGACUCAUUGGAAAAGACCCUAAUGUUGGGAAAGAUUGAAGGCAGGAGGAGAAGGGGACGACAGAGGAUGAGAUGGUUGGAUGGCAUCACCGACUCGAUGGACAUGAGUCUGAGCAAGCUGUGGAAGAUGGUGAAGGGAUAGGAAGCCUGGCGUGCUGCAGUCCAUGGGGUCACAAAGAGUCGGACACGACCGAGUGACUGAACAACAACAGAAGAAAUCAUCGCUUCAUCUCUCUUCUUAAAAGUGUGUGUCUGCACUGCUAUAGUUAUUAAUAAGAUGGAUAACAAGGACCUACUGUACAACACAGGGAACUCUGCUCAAUGUUAUGUAGCAGCCUGGAUGGGAGGGAGUUUGGGGGAGAAUGGAUACAUGUGUAUGUAUGGCUGAGUCCCUUUGCUCUUCGCCUGAAAGUGUCACAACAUUGUUAAUUGGCUAUACUCCAAUAUAAAAAAAGUUCAAAUAAAUUCCUAACGUGAUGCUGUGUCGAGAAGCAUACACAAGAACAGGUGCUAGUCUUUCUGUCCAGGAAGUGGAGCCAGGUGGCCAGGGGUGGUGAGGACCAAGAUAGAGGUUUCACUCUACCUUUUCUGGUACGUUUUGAAUUAUAAACCAUGUGUAUGUAUUACCUACUCAAAAAAAUAAAUAAAAUUUAAACGUGAAAAUCAGGUACUUUCCAAAUAGCACUGUUAAAUCAGUGUACCAUGUGUUAAAUGUACGUACGCACUCAUGGACGAACACAGCCUUUUGAAAACAAUUAAUUUGAGGAUGUUCAUUAAGAAACAUUUGGAAAAUUCAGAAAAGGAGAAAGAAAAUAUAUGUCUAACCCAGAGUCCCGCCACUCAGGGACAUUCACCAGUAAUAUUCUGGCUUAUUUCUUCUAGUCUGUUUUGUUUAGUUGUCAUGUGGUUUGAAUCAUUCUGUGUUAGAGUUUUAGAAAUUGCUUUUUAAAGAUCUAAACAUGGAUAAAUGCUUACAAUGUCAUACCAUGAUAGGACAUUUGAGUCUCCUUCUUAAAGGCUGGUGUUGGGGCUCCCAUUGGUAUUGGCUGGUAUUGGGAAAUCUCAGAAGACAAUUCUGCCCUCCAC